rfam:Giardia lamblia ATCC 50803 SC_589 genomic scaffold, whole genome shotgun sequence.
GCUCUUGUAGUGUAAUGGUUAGCACCUCGGACUUUGAAUCCGGUAGUCUGGGUUCGAUCCCCAGCGAGAGCG